AGAAAAACUGCCCUAUACAAACACCGAAGGAACCAUUUUUGUUUCGUCUAGUCGCGAGUGCGAUAAAAAACAUUCCACGGAUUACGCGUAGCCUUGACAAGGGAAAGGAUCAAUAUUUCACCCGAGAUAAUCCCACUUCUCUCAAUAGCAACGUGUGAAGGAACUGGUCACAAGUGGGAUUUAUCGCUUAAAGACUGAUUUUUCUCCGACAUAAAUAGCUUGCAAAAUAUUGAUAUUAAAAACUUUUACAACUAUAUAUAUUACAAUGGAAAUUUGUGUCCGGUAUAAACAUUCGACGAAAGGAAAAGUGAAAAGAAUCUACUCGGUUUUGAAUGUCCACCGUAUUUUAUCAUUUAGUAUCUUGUUAUUGAACAGUCGCCCCCACGUUUAAAGUCUACUUAUAUGACCAAUAAUAUAGUUGAAAUAUUUUUCAUUGUUACGUUGAAGAGAUUUAAAGUAGAAAGGAAUUUAGGAAUUUGCUACCUGUAAACGAACAAAAGGCAGUCUACGACAUCAUGGUACACUUUCUGAUACAAUGCAUCAAAUGUAAGUUACGCAUUCUUCGUUGUAUAGCACAUGGAUUGUGAAAUUCAACAACAAAGCGCAGUUUGCAAAGUAAAAAAGU
rnacentral:sRNA from 1 species